GCUCAUUCACGUCUGUGUCAGCUGACGUGAGGUCAGUUGGAUGAGACACACAGAGACGUGUGGCUUAGGUGGGAAAGUCCAACCUCACGCUCACAGGUGUGUUAUUGUCUGCAAGUUGAAUGGAGGCGGGACUCCGAAUGAAACCAAAGCUUCACCUCGUGAAUUAAGCCGCACACCACAGAAGAAGACGCGGGUGUCGUUCCAGCUGGAGAGGACGGACGGACGGAUCUGAGCCGUCUUCAUCCUGCUGUUAGUUUCUGCGUCUGAAACAAAGAGCCACAGAUGGACAGACUGUCUGAUUGGCUAACGGUCGCUGACACUGCCGCCAUGUCAUUAAGUGGGCGGGACCAGGUGGUCUCACUGUUCUCUGGUUAAACCGUCAGCCAGAGCCGUUGUCGGGGGCAACACACAGUUUGGAAACGCAACCACAGACGCAGAGAUGAAGGAGGGUGAUGCAACUCGACCUGCAGCAGGAUGACGGAGGACAGGCGGCGCGCUGUUUUAAACAAACUGCAGUUCGUUUGUGCUGCGACAUCUGGACGAUAAGGACACGGAGGAGGAGAGGAAGUGUCCACUGUUUCCAGGACAAAAGACUAUUGUGACUCCUGAGUCGACCUGAGAAAGUCUGCGACGAGCGGCGGUGAGCGUUCACAUCAGGACAACAAUGCACCGCCUGAGCAGCAGCGUCGGCAGACCGCGAAGAGAAUAGACGAGAACAGAGCACGAGGAGAGAUCAGAGUCGGAGUCAAGGCUGCCGCACUCUCGUGUGUAACCAGGACAAAGGCAGGAAGACGUUAAGACCUGAGACAGAGCUGGGAGAACUGGGAGAGUUUUGUCUCUCACCAGUAUCGUGACACACCUGGGCAAUUAGUGGGUCAGACAUUAGAGUCAAAGUCACAGUCAGAACUUGGUCAGACAUUUGCCAAAACAUAUGUUAACUCUGCUGGGCCGUCUGUGGUAAUAUGGGAUUUAAAUGUUGGUUUCGUCCCAUGCAAACAUCUAUCUGAGUGAACAGAAGACGACCCGCUGCUGGGACACUGAAAAGUCACACCGGUGAAACCGGUAUGUUCCUGCAGCGCACUGAGGUUGUUUCCUCGACUGCGCCGUUUUGGUGAAGUGGAGGGUGUGGAGACGCAAAUCCAGCAGCGCGCUGCAAAAGCACACAUGAAAUAACACCCAAACACCGAGGGGUUGAAGAUUAAAACGUAUAAUGUAGAAUAUGGAGACAAUAUCUUCCAGAAGUCAGAGGAAAAGUAGACGGGGGAUGUUGGGCCUCUGUAAAUAAUAUCGUAAAGAUCACAGUCUGGACCUGCUCUAUAUGAAAAGUGCCCUGAGAAAACUUGACUUAAAUGGAUUCCACUAUUUAUAGUAUUCCAUCAAAAAGAGUUCACACACGAUUGGUUCUCUGUGGCUUAUAUUAGAAAGUCGACCAAUGGAAAACUGCCAGACCCUAGAAAGAGUCAAGGUCAACAUCGACACCAGCCUUCAUGGUCACCUCAAGCACAGGACACCAGUCCUGGGGGGCUCAUUCUCAAGAACGUGCUGAGGAUGCAGUAUUUUUAGAGCAAUAAAAAUACUAAAUAAAGGGAUUAAGGAUGAGUAAGCCUAUGGUGAAACUGCAACUUAGUUUAAAAAAUUAAGGUCUCUUAAAGGUAUAUAGUGAGGGAUGGCUUUCAUGGUUUUUUAUUUUGGUUUUAAGGGGUUUCUACUUCCUUAAAGGCCCUUAAACGGUGCAGAUAAUGAUUUUUACAUCAAUACCUCAAUGUAUCAUAUUCUUGUCAUUUAUCAACGAAUUAUCCCCAUUAAAAUCCUUUAAUUACAACAUAAUUAAUGGGUAAAUUAAGAUAAAAAUCAAGGGAUGCAGAACAUGUCCCCCAGUGACACAGUUUGUGGAAACAGUGGAGCUCUUGGGCUCAGAGGGAUCAGAUCCAUCAGGUUGAGGAUACACAAACAGUACUUGUUAGUAGAAGAUAUUCAGUCUUGAUUUGGGAUUUGAUGACAAACCUUUUCCUGUGAGCCAUCUGGAGUCUGACCACUUUCUAUUUAUGCACCGGGAGAGAACAGGAAGCUGUCAGCAGCCAAAACAUCGACCUCUGGAUGUCACGACGGUUCCCAGGAGGAGGAAGAGGAGGAAUCCAGUCAAACACCACCACACGUUUCAGUGAGUGGAGGAUAUAGCGUCAGCUAAUGUAGAGAAACGACUCUCUUAGCAUCAGAAGACCCCGACCCAGUCUGUAGUUCUGCACGGUCAGGGAAUUUCACACAAAUCAAUGAUGAGAUUUAGCUGUAGUUUUUACAAGAGAAAAGCUGUAACUAUGACUUUAGUUGCAAAAUGUCUGUCUUCCUUUUCCCUCUACAGCUCUGUCACGAAAAUCAGACAAAAAUUGGAUGUUUAUUAUACUGUUGACAUUGUUUUUUAGGUGCUCUGGUAGGAGACUGAACUGAAACUUUACUUGCUACACUUUCUACACUCGGACUUAGAAUUGAUUUUCAGUUGAGCCGCAGCUCAUCUUCUGUCGGCAGCAGAUGGUUGAAGGAGUGAAAGGCUGAAGAAUAAAAUCACCUCCGGCAUGUUUAUCCUAUUUGGUGAUAAUGAGGGAGGUCAGGACUGUACAGGACUGAUGGGAAACAUGGUCUUAAUAUAUAGAGACAUUAACGAUGACAAUACAACCAGCGGCUCUCGCCGUCACGCUCUGAUUGGCUUGCAGGCCGAAGCUGGAACAUUAAACCGACAGAUGUUAAAGAUGAAACUCGGAGCGGAUUCCAAACUCUUCCUGACCACUCGCAGCUCUGCAGUCUGUCAUCAACACGCUGAUCCCAGCUGGUUAAUUAAAAACAGACGAUUGGCUGCUAAUUGGGCGUCUUCAGCCUCCACCCCCCCAUCCCUCCACCCCCCCCAGCUCGUCAAAGUCUGCCGAGCCUCGCUGGACCAGCUGCUGCCUGUCUGAGACUCCCACAGCCUGAACACAUGGAGCAUCAACAGCAGUGAAGUUUCCCUGGAGAACAAUGACAGUGACACUAUGAUUACUGACUGCUAUUUUAUUUUGUUGUAUGUAAUUUAUUAUCGUCUCUUUGGUGCACUGUGCUGUUUUGUCAGCUAUGUAUUGUAUUUGACCGAAACUGUGUGUGGGACUGUAGCCAAAGUC